AUGCCGCUCUCCAGUCUGCUCUGGGUGCUCCUGGCCUUCUCCUUCUCUGGAUCUGGUGUGGCCCAGAAUGUUACUCAAAACCAGCCAGUCAUAAUCAGCCAAGUGGGGAAGAUAGUCACCCUUAACUCUCAGUAUGAAAUAAGCAGGAAUGUGCAUGACUACCAGAUUUUUUGGUGCCAGCAGCUUCCCAGUGGAGAGAUGACUUACCUCAUUCAUCAGUAUUCAGAAGACAGGAAUGAAAGGGAUGGCCGCUACUCUGUAAACUUCCAGAAAGCACGUAAAUCCAUCAGCCUCACUAUUUCAUUCUUAAAACUGGAACAUUCUGCAAAGUAUUUCUGUGCUCUCUGGGUACACACAGUGUUUGAAGUAAUAGGAAAAGCUGUACAAAAACUCCAGAGCUUAAUAAGAGAGAGCCCCCCUGCUGCAGGACCCCAGCUGAAAUGCACACCCGCAGAUGCAGACCCCAGACAAGAAAUGAUAGUCCUGUGUCAUCAUCGGCCUGAGAAGGGACGCCAGCGGUACACCCAGAAAGCUGAGCGGCAGGGAAAGGCCAUAGACGCAGCGAUGGCGCUCGCCAAGCUCCUGAGCCACUCGGACCUGGGAGGGGCGCAAAACGCGGGCCCAACCAAAUCUACACCUCUGAGGGCUUCCUGA